rnacentral:rRNA from 1 species
UACGGGGGGAGCAAGCGUUGUUCGGAUUUACUGGGCGUAAAGGGCGCGUAGGCGGUCAGCACAAGUCAGUUGUGAAAUCUCCGGGCUUAACUCGGAAAGGUCAACUGAUACUGUGCGACUAGAGUGCGGAAGGGGCAACUGGAAUUCUUGGUGUAGCGGUGAAAUGCGUAGAUAUCGGGAGGAACACCAAUGGCGAAGGCAGCUCGCUGGGACGGUACUGACGCUGAGACGCGAAAGCGUGGGGAGCAAACAGG